GACCUCGGGCUGUACGGGACUACCCGGCGGAUUUAAGCAUAUCAAUAAGCGGAGGA
rnacentral:rRNA from 1 species